GGACGUGAGGGCGAUCUGGCUGCAACAUCUGUCACCCCACUGAUCACCAGGGUCGAUUCGGCUGAUCUGGCUGGCUAGGCGGGGGCCCCCUUCCUCCCUCACCGCUCCAAGUGCGUCCCUCCCGAAGCUGCGCGCUCGGUCGAAGAGGACCGCCUUCCCCGAUAGAGGAGGAUCGCUCUUCGGUCAAGGGUAUACGAGUAGCUGCGUUCCCCUGCUAGAACGUCCCAACAAGCUCUCAAGAAAACAAACGACAUAAUUUCCAAAUGGCCUACCUAUCUGAUCAAAUACUUC
ensembl:misc_RNA 7SK 7SK RNA